AACCACACUAUCAAUGAAUGGAUUCACCCGCAGGAUGACGUGGUUGUUUCACCUAGGACGAGGAUGUGACAUUAUAUUACCGGCCAUCGCACGAAAUUAAUAGGAUGCCACGUCCUCAACCCAGAUGGAACAACCACGUCAUCUCACGGGUGAAUCCAUUCAUUGAUAGUGUGGUU
rfam:Oryza meridionalis cultivar OR44 (W2112) chromosome 1, whole genome shotgun sequence.